GUCUCUGUGGCGCAAUUGGUUAGCGCGUUCGGCUGUUAACCAGAAGGUUGGUGGUUCAAGCCCACCCAGGGACG
rnacentral:tRNA from 1 species